AUGGUCUCAGACAACAAAACCCUAGUGGAAUUACUCAACAACAAUCCCAUGCAGGAGAUUAGCUCGAACAUCAACACGAUGUGUCAUCACAUCCUUGGGAAACAUAAGCUUUUCCACCAGCUGUCGUUUCAACAUCUUUGGAGAGAGGAUAAUGUUAAGGCGCACAAUACGGCCAGAUCCUCUGCGGAUCUAGGCUUAAAGCAAAAUAUUGAUGGGCCUCAGGCCCAAUUAAUGUGA